rnacentral:lncRNA from 1 species
UGUCUUUGACCCAUUAUUGCAGACUUUAAAAACAACAUGUUUUCAAAUGGUACUAUGAGCUGCCAAUGAUGUAUCACCACAUAUCUCAUUAUUCUCUACUAAAUGUGAUAAUAAUGUGAUCUGUUAACAUAAAAAAGUUUGGCUUCACAAAAGCAGCUGGAAAUGGACAACCACAAUCUGCAUAAAUCUAACUCCUACCAUCAGCUACACACUGCUUGACACAUUGUUGGAAGUACCUUUCAUUGGUGGGCUCUUGUAAGCAAAAUGCUUGCAUUAGGUCCCAGUUGGGGCUAGCAUAAGGCAGUUUGGGAAAUAUUCAAUUCUCAGCAGAAGCCAGAAUUUGAAUUCUUCCAUCUUUCAGGAGUCAUUUACUAGAUCCAGGGGCAGAUUCAGGCAGCUUGGUAC